UUAAGCGACUAAGCGUACACGGUGGAUGCCCUGGCAGUCAGAGGCGAUGAAGGACGUGCUAAUCUGCGAUAAGCGUCGGUAAGGUGAUAUGAACCGUUAUAACCGGCGAUUUCCGAAUGGGGAAACCCAGUGUGUUUCGACACACUAUCAUUAACUGAAUCCAUAGGUUAAUGAGGCGAACCGGGGGAACUGAAACAUCUAAGUACCCCGAGGAAAAGAAAUCAACCGAGAUUCCCCCAGUAGCGGCGAGCGAACGGGGAGCAGCCCAGAGCCUGAAUCAGUGUGUGUGUUAGUGGAAGCGUCUGGAAAGGCGCGCGAUACAGGGUGACAGCCCCGUACACAAAAAUGCACAUACUGUGAGCUCGAUGAGUAGGGCGGGACACGUGGUAUCCUGUCUGAAUAUGGGGGGACCAUCCUCCAAGGCUAAAUACUCCUGACUGACCGAUAGUGAACCAGUACCGUGAGGGAAAGGCGAAAAGAACCCCGGCGAGGGGAGUGAAAAAGAACCUGAAACCGUGUACGUACAAGCAGUGGGAGCACGCUUCGGCGUGUGACUGCGUACCUUUUGUAUAAUGGGUCAGCGACUUAUAUUCUGUAGCAAGGUUAACCGAAUAGGGGAGCCGAAGGGAAACCGAGUCUUAACUGGGCGUUAAGUUGCAGGGUAUAGACCCGAAACCCGGUGAUCUAGCCAUGGGCAGGUUGAAGGUUGGGUAACACUAACUGGAGGACCGAACCGACUAAUGUUGAAAAAUUAGCGGAUGACUUGUGGCUGGGGGUGAAAGGCCAAUCAAACCGGGAGAUAGCUGGUUCUCCCCGAAAGCUAUUUAGGUAGCGCCUCGUGAAUUCAUCUCCGGGGGUAGAGCACUGUUUCGGCAAGGGGGUCAUCCCGACUUACCAACCCGAUGCAAACUGCGAAUACCGGAGAAUGUUAUCACGGGAGACACACGGCGGGUGCUAACGUCCGUCGUGAAGAGGGAAACAACCCAGACCGCCAGCUAAGGUCCCAAAGUCAUGGUUAAGUGGGAAACGAUGUGGGAAGGCCCAGACAGCCAGGAUGUUGGCUUAGAAGCAGCCAUCAUUUAAAGAAAGCGUAAUAGCUCACUGGUCGAGUCGGCCUGCGCGGAAGAUGUAACGGGGCUAAACCAUGCACCGAAGCUGCGGCAGCGACACUAUGUGUUGUUGGGUAGGGGAGCGUUCUGUAAGCCUGUGAAGGUGUGCUGUGAGGCAUGCUGGAGGUAUCAGAAGUGCGAAUGCUGACAUAAGUAACGAUAAAGCGGGUGAAAAGCCCGCUCGCCGGAAGACCAAGGGUUCCUGUCCAACGUUAAUCGGGGCAGGGUGAGUCGACCCCUAAGGCGAGGCCGAAAGGCGUAGUCGAUGGGAAACAGGUUAAUAUUCCUGUACUUGGUGUUACUGCGAAGGGGGACGGAGAAGGCUAUGUUGGCCGGGCGACGGUUGUCCCGGUUUAAGCGUGUAGGCUGGUUUUCCAGGCAAAUCCGGAAAAUCAAGGCUGAGGCGUGAUGACGAGGCACUACGGUGCUGAAGCAACAAAUGCCCUGCUUCCAGGAAAAGCCUCUAAGCAUCAGGUAACAUUAAAUCGUACCCCAAACCGACACAGGUGGUCAGGUAGAGAAUACCAAGGCGCUUGAGAGAACUCGGGUGAAGGAACUAGGCAAAAUGGUGCCGUAACUUCGGGAGAAGGCACGCUGAUAUGUAGGUGAAGUCCCUCGCGGAUGGAGCUGAAAUCAGUCGAAGAUACCAGCUGGCUGCAACUGUUUAUUAAAAACACAGCACUGUGCAAACACGAAAGUGGACGUAUACGGUGUGACGCCUGCCCGGUGCCGGAAGGUUAAUUGAUGGGGUUAGCGGUAACGCGAAGCUCUUGAUCGAAGCCCCGGUAAACGGCGGCCGUAACUAUAACGGUCCUAAGGUAGCGAAAUUCCUUGUCGGGUAAGUUCCGACCUGCACGAAUGGCGUAAUGAUGGCCAGGCUGUCUCCACCCGAGACUCAGUGAAAUUGAACUCGCUGUGAAGAUGCAGUGUACCCGCGGCAAGACGGAAAGACCCCGUGAACCUUUACUAUAGCUUGACACUGAACAUUGAGCCUUGAUGUGUAGGAUAGGUGGGAGGCUUUGAAGUGUGGACGCCAGUCUGCAUGGAGCCGACCUUGAAAUACCACCCUUUAAUGUUUGAUGUUCUAACGUUGACCCGUAAUCCGGGUUGCGGACAGUGUCUGGUGGGUAGUUUGACUGGGGCGGUCUCCUCCUAAAGAGUAACGGAGGAGCACGAAGGUUGGCUAAUCCUGGUCGGACAUCAGGAGGUUAGUGCAAUGGCAUAAGCCAGCUUGACUGCGAGCGUGACGGCGCGAGCAGGUGCGAAAGCAGGUCAUAGUGAUCCGGUGGUUCUGAAUGGAAGGGCCAUCGCUCAACGGAUAAAAGGUACUCCGGGGAUAACAGGCUGAUACCGCCCAAGAGUUCAUAUCGACGGCGGUGUUUGGCACCUCGAUGUCGGCUCAUCACAUCCUGGGGCUGAAGUAGGUCCCAAGGGUAUGGCUGUUCGCCAUUUAAAGUGGUACGCGAGCUGGGUUUAGAACGUCGUGAGACAGUUCGGUCCCUAUCUGCCGUGGGCGCUGGAGAACUGAGGGGGGCUGCUCCUAGUACGAGAGGACCGGAGUGGACGCAUCACUGGUGUUCGGGUUGUCAUGCCAAUGGCACUGCCCGGUAGCUAAAUGCGGAAGAGAUAAGUGCUGAAAGCAUCUAAGCACGAAACUUGCCCCGAGAUGAGUUCUCCCUGACUCCUUGAGAGUCCUGAAGGAACGUUGAAGACGACGACGUUGAUAGGCCAGGUGUGUAAGCGCAGCGAUGCGUUGAGCUAACCGGUACUAAUGAACCGUGAGGCUUAACCUU
rnacentral:rRNA from 1 species